rnacentral:rRNA from 1 species
UACAGAGGUCUCAAGCGUUGUUCGGAUUCACUGGGUUUAAAGGGUGCGUAGGUGGGCAGUUAAUUCAGUGGUGAAAUCUCCGGGCUUAACUCGGAAACUGCCAUUGAUACUAUCUGUCUUGAAUACCGUGGAGGUCAGCGGAAUAUGUCAUGUAGCGGUGAAAUGCUUAGAUAUGACAUAGAACACCAAUUGCGAAGGCAGCUGGCUACACGAAUAUUGACACUGAUGCACGAAAGCGUGGGGAUCAAACAGG